UACGGAGGGGGCCAGCGUUGUUCGGAAUCAUUGGGCGUAAAGGGCGCGUAGGUGGCCGCGCAAGUCGGAGGUGAAAUCCCUCGGCCCAACCGAGGAACUGCCUCUGAAACUGCGCGGCUCGAGUCCCGGAGAGGGCAGUGGAAUUCCCAGUGUAGCGGUGAAAUGCGUAGAUAUUGGGAGGAACACCGGUGGCGAAGGCGGCUGCCUGGACGGGUACUGACGCUGAUGCGCGAAAGCUAGGGGAGCAAACGGG
rnacentral:rRNA from 1 species